rnacentral:rRNA from 1 species
GACGUAGGGCGCGAGCGUUGUCCGGAUUUAUUGGGCGUAAAGAGCUCGUAGGCGGUUCGUCACGUCGGCUGUGAAAACCUGAGGCUCAACCUCAGGCCUGCAGUCGAUACGGGCGGACUCGAGUUCGGCAGGGGAGACUGGAAUUCCUGGUGUAGCGGUGAAAUGCGCAGAUAUCAGGAGGAACACCGGUGGCGAAGGCGGGUCUCUGGGCCGAUACUGACGCUGAGGAGCGAAAGCGUGGGGAGCGAACAGG